CAGGGAUUUUUCAUUCUUUGACGAGGCGGUUUUCUGACCAGUGCACUCAACAACGAUUCGAUGCUGAAAGGUUAUGUAACAACUGUGGGGCUUGGCGUCCUGGGGAUGUGUUUGGUUCUGGAAUUCUACGCAGGCGCUAGAAUUACAUCAGCGCCCCCUGUAAGAACACGUCCCGCACGCCAAGAAUCGCAGAGCCAG